rnacentral:rRNA from 1 species
GACUCUCGGCAACGGAUAUCUCGGCUCUCGCAUCGAUGAAGAACGUAGCGAAAUGCGAUACUUGGUGUGAAUUGCAGAAUCCCGUGAACCAUCGAGUUUUUGAACGCAAGUUGCGCCCGAAGCCUUUAGGCUGAGGGCACGUCUGCCUGGGUGUCACGCAGCGUCGCCACCGCCCAGAAU